rnacentral:rRNA from 1 species
GACGUAGGGCGCGAGCGUUGUCCGGAUUUAUUGGGCGUAAAGAGCUCGUAGGCGGCUUGUCGCGUCGACUGUGAAAUCCCGCGGCUCAACUGCGGGUCUGCAGUCGAUACGGGCAGGCUAGAGUUCGGUAGGGGAGACUGGAAUUCCUGGUGUAGCGGUGAAAUGCGCAGAUAUCAGGAGGAACACCGAUGGCGAAGGCAGGUCUCUGGGCCGAUACUGACGCUGAGGAACGAAAGCGUGGGUAGCAAACAGG